AAAAAAAGAUAACUGACUCACUUCUUACUUUGUUCGCUCUGCAACCUUCCAUUCGAGCUCAUAGAUUUUCGUGACUUCGUGGUGCUCUGGCAUCUUCAAUCUCGGGCCAAAUUUUUUGUGCUCUAGUCUGAAGCUUGGACCUGGUCUUCGAUCUCCCAAAAACUUUGGUGUCGUGGUGCUUUGGUGUUUCGUGGCAUCGUUUUCUUCUCGAGCACCUUCCCGGCCUCUUAUGGUGUCAUCUUCUACUCGAAUCGGUCCUCGGCAUCGAGAUCUUCAAGUCUUAAAGUGGAUCUGUGCUGGUAUUUUUGUGGGUCUCUAGGAUCCUCGUGUGGGUCAUCUUCAAGAGGCCGUGUAUAUUGUUUGCUAGUAUUUUUAUGGCCAAGGUAAGACAGGAAAUUUUAAUCUUGGUGGUUCCAAGACUUGUUUUAGACUAUGGCUCAAAGGAUCGGAGGGAUGGGGAAUAUAUAUACAUAUUUAUGGAAUGUAGUAAUAAUUUUCUAAUUAUCGAUCAGGAAGGCGCUUUGUAAAGGAUUAUGUAAAGGUAUCAUGAAGGAGAGGGCUGAGAGACAAUCGAGAGAGGGCUUCCGGCGCCGCUACGUGAGAGAGGAUUGCAACUACUGAGGGGAGGGCUGAGAGACAACUGAGAAGAGUUUCGGGUUGCUGAGGAGAAAAUUGGUCUAAGGAGAAAACUGAGGGAAGCAUCGUGAAGGGAUAAGGGGAAGGUGAUUAUCGGGCUAAGGAUCUAAAUGAAACGGCGCAUUUUCUCCAAUUCCAAAAACGAUGUUGUUUCAAUGAAGAAGGCUGGCACAGUAGCUCUGGUCUGCGCCGAAUGUGCCCCAUUUGCCCUUAUCGACUCCACCCAGUGUUUUUCUUUUUUGACACAUUCAACAUCCCCAGGCUUGUAAUUAGUAGUACGUAAUUCCUCUCAAACUAUCAAUUCCCUUGUUAUUUAUCUCUCAAAUUUAGCAGGAUCAGGAUGAAAUUGUCCUUAAA